GACGAACGCUGGCGGCGUGCUUAACACAUGCAAGUCGAACGGAAAGGCCCUGCUUUUGUGGGGUGCUCGAGUGGCGAACGGGUGAGUAACACGUGAGUAACCUGCCCUUGACUUUGUGAUAACUUCAGGAAACUGGGGCUAAUACCGGAUAGGAGCUCCUGCUGCAUGUUGGGGGUUGGAAAGUUUGGGCGGUUGGGGCUGGACUCGCGGCUUAUCAGCUUGUUGGUGGGGUAGUGGCUUACCAAGGCUUUGACGGGUAGCCGGCCUGAGAGGGUGACCGGCCACAUGGGGACUGAGAGACGGCCCAGAAUCCUACGGGAGGCAGCAGUGGGGAAUAUUGCACAAUGGGCGGAAGCCUGAUGCAGAAACGCCGCGUGCGGGAUGACGGCCUUCGGGUUGUAAACCGAUUUCGCAUGUGACGAAGCGUGAGUGACGGUAAUGGGUAAAGAAGCACCGGCUAACUACGUG
rnacentral:rRNA from 1 species